rnacentral:rRNA from 1 species
GGUACGUACUGGCAUUAUUGGUUUCUCCCUUCUGACGAACCAAGAUGUCAUUAAUUUGGUGUCUUGGGGAAUCAGGACCGUUACUUUGAAAAAAUUAGAGUGUUUAAAGCAGGCUCGCGCUUGAAUACAUUAGCAUGGAAUAAUGAAAUAGGACGUUUGAUUCUAUUUUGUUGGUUUCUAGGAUCGACGUAAUGAUUAAUAGGGAUAGUUGGGGGCAUUAGUAUUCAAUUGUCAGAGGUGAAAUUCUUGGAUUUAUUGAAGACUAACUACUGCGAAAGCAUUUGCCAAGGAUGUUUUCAUUAAUCAAGAACGAAAGUUAGGGGAUCGAAGACGAUCAGAUACCGUCGUAGUCUUAACCAUAAACUAUGCCGACUAGGGAUCGGAUGAUGUUAAUUUUUUAAUGACUCAUUCGGCGCCUUACG